CAUGAGUGCACCGGCAAUUAAAAAGGCCGGUACCAAACACGUCAGGACAUGCAGAGCUAUGUAUUCCUCAAGGGCCUGAAUUCCCGCCAGCAGCAGUGCAUUGACGUCCAUAUGGUUUAAAAUUUAUAACUGAAUUUAAGUUUUUGGUUUAAAAUUUAAACUUUUUUCUUAGGUUUA
rnacentral:sRNA from 1 species